AUUGAACGCUGGCGGCAGGCUUAACACAUGCAAGUCGAGCGGGGUGAUGGUGCUUGCACUAUCACUUAGCGGCGGACGGGUGAGUAAUGCUUAGGAAUCUGCCUAUUAGUGGGGGACAACAUCUCGAAAGGGAUGCUAAUACCGCAUACGUCCUACGGGAGAAAGCAGGGGAUCACUUGUGACCUUGCGCUAAUAGAUGAGCCUAAGUCGGAUUAGCUAGUUGGUGGGGUAAAGGCCUACCAAGGCGACGAGCUGUAGCGGGUCUGAGAGGAUGAUCCGCAACACUGGGACUGAGACACGGCCCAGACUCCUACGGGAGGCAGCAGUGGGGAAUAUUGGACAAUGGGGGGAACCCUGAUCCAGCCAUGCCGCGUGUGUGAAGAAGGCCUUAUGGUUGUAAAGCACUUUAAGCGAGGAGGAGGCUCUUUUGGUUAAUACCCAAGAUGAGUGGACGUUACUCGCAGAAUAAGCACCGGCUAACUCUGUGCCAGCCGCCGCGGUAA
rnacentral:rRNA from 1 species